rnacentral:rRNA from 1 species
GAUGAACGCUGGCGGCGUGCUUAACACAUGCAAGUCGAACGGAAAGGCCAGUGCUUUCACUGGUGCUCGAGUGGCGAACGGGUGAGUAACACGUGGGUGAUCUGCCCUGCACUUUGGGAUAAGCCUGGGAAACUGGGGCUAAUACCAGAUAGGACCAUCCUUUGGAUGGUGUGGUGGAAAGUUUUUUCGGUGUGGGAGGAGCUUGCGGCCUAUCAGCUUGUUGGUGGGGUAAUGGCCUACCAAGGCGUCGACGGGUAGCCGGCCUGAGAGGGUGUACGGCCACAUUGGGACUGAGAGAAGGCCCAGACUCCUACGGGAGGCAGCAGUGGGGAAUAUUGCACAAUGGGCGCAAGCCUGAUGCAGCGACGCCGCGUGGGGGAUGGCGGCCUUCGGGUUGUAAACCCCUUUCGCAACUGACGAAGCUUUUUGUGACGGUAGGUUGAGAAGAAGCACCGGCUAACUACGUG